rnacentral:rRNA from 1 species
AAACUUUCAACAACGGAUCUCUUGGUUCUCGCAUCGAUGAAGAACGCAGCGAAACGCGAUAGUUAAUGUGAAUUGCAGAAUUCAGUGAAUCAUCGAGUCUUUGAACGCACAUUGCACCUUUUGGUAUUCCGAAAGGUAUGUCUGUUUGAGC